AUGAAGCACAGUAAAGAAGAAGUGAAGAGCAUCAUUAAGAUAGAACACAAUAAAAAGUGGCAGGAUAAUUGGAAUAAGGAAACAAAAGGUAGAGAGUUUUACAAAGUCCAGAGGAAAGUAGGUGUCAUGAGAGGAGGAAUAGAAAUAGGAAAGAAGAAGACAUUAUUACUAGAAUGAGAUUAGGACAUACAUAUCUAAAUAGUUCACUAAAAUUGAUAGGCAAACAUAAUACAGGGCUGUGUGAUUCUUGCCACCAGAUAGAAAAUGUUGACCAUGUCUUAAUACAAUGUAGGAAAUAUAAUAGAGAAAGAGAAAUACUGGAAAAUAAGUUAGCAAAAGAAAAUAUUAGGUUAGAAGUGGGAGAUAUAUUAGGAUUGCAUUCAUAAAACAUAGGAUAUAAAGCAAUAUAAACAUAUUUAAAAAACACUGGGUUAAGUAAAAGAAUAUAGAGUAGGGAUCCACCUCGGUCCACACUCCAUUACAGUAGGUGGCGCUAAUGCACACCACAAGGUUGCUUGCCAACCGCCAUAAAAACAAAAGAAGAAGAAGAAGAAGAAAGUUUUUGGAAGCGACAUGAGACUUGGAGAGCAUGGACCAAAAGGAAACGACUACAAGAAAGUGGUUAAGAGUUCCCACAAAGAAAAUGAAGGACCUGCAUAAUUCUCCUCCCCCAAUUAAGCAAUCUGAUUGUUUGGCAUUCGUCAGAUGGGAGGACGGUUAUACCGGCAAAAUCUUUACAGGAUCAGACAUUUUGCCAAGAGAUGAAGCUCCUGUGCAGAUCUUAGAUCUUAAAACAGGAGAUUCUGUUUUAGCAAAGUGGUCAGAUAGUAAAUUUUAUAGGGCAACUGUUGAACAUAUUUGAGGAAAAGAUCCGACUCAGUCACCAAAAGGCUGCCAAACUCCACAGGAGUUAUUUUGAAAUAUGUUGGAAGCCAGUGAGCCAUCACACUCAACAUCAGGGUCUGACACCAUUACAGUAGAUCAGAAGCCACUGUCUGAACAUGAUAAUAUUACAGCGCUAAAUCUAUCAAGUGACGGGGGACUUCUAACAG